AGGAUACACUGUACCAAAAAUAACGAAACUUUUGGGAUUGCAACAAUGGAAAAUCAAGUACAAUAUGAGAAAAGAUGGAUUAAGAUCACGAAAAUUUUCCGAAAUAACAAACUCGCAUUUAGAUUGCAUAGUCCGUGAUAUAAUCAGGCUGUUUCCCGACUCUGGAUUCAAAAACUUUGUUGGGAAAUACAAAAUCAGUGGGCCAAAAGUUAGUCGACACAGAUCGAGAGAAUCAUUUUGUAGAGUGAAGGACUUACGGAGGGAUCCUCCAAGAAGGACAAUCAAGAGGAGGGUAUAGAGCGUGAAACAUCCUCUCUCUCUUUGACACGUCGACAGCCAUCAUAAACUAUCAAGGAAGACUUAUUAAAAUUAAUUCAAUCACAAGUAAAAUAGCAGUACUUUUAUCUUUAGAUGGAAGUUCUACGUCCAAGGUUGCGUUGAUGGAUAUUCGAGGUUAAUGGUGGUUCUUAACUUAUCAUCCAACAAUCGAGCUGCAACAACCUUAAACCUUUUUUCUGGCGCUGUUGUGAAAUGGGGUUUACCAUUACGCGUGAGAAAAUUAUGGUGUUUGUGAUUUCAUGUUAGCCGCAAGAUCAGAAAUUUGCAAUCCAUUUAUCGCCGGCAAGUCGGUGCAUAAUCAGAGGGUCGAGCGUUCCUGGCGUGAUUUGUUUGAAGCUGCUAUCUUGAACCAUUCCACAUAAUGUUAUAUUCAUGAGAGACCAAUGGCCAUUUAAAUCCAUCGUCCUUGAUGGAUCUAGUGUCCCUCCACAUAACGUGCCGUCCGUUGUUGAUUAGAACUGUCGAUCCCUUCGCCCAGGGAUGGAAUAACCAUCCUCUAAGCACAGAACAUAACGAAACUCCCAAACGCCUAUUUCACGGGAAGCUUUGAAGGAGACGGACGACGAAUGCGAUCUUUUAAAACAGGACGUCGGCAAAAUGCAAGAAGCUGUAAGGAAGUUGCCAACAUACCCGACGGAUGAAUGCAGCAUUGACGAUUUCUUGAUGCGAGAAGAAAUGAGAAAUUUGAACUUUGAUGCGAAUGUAGUUACUCUUGAAAAUGCAUUUGCGAUGUAUAUGAAUGUCAAAGCAGCAUUAUAAAUGUUCUGUUUUCGAUAAAUUCAUUUCCAUUUAACUGUUUAAA